UGAGCUGCACGCAGUUGAUGGUUAAGAAGAGCUUGGCUAAUUCAGUCAGCUUGGUUCUCUCUGCCCUGCUCUGACUGACAGGCCAGGCCCCUGCUCAUCCCUGAAAACUAGCAUCAGGGAAUGACAUACAGUUUGAUAACAUAAGAUGCUUAGGUUUUUUGGCUCAAGUGAGAUGUUCAGAGCUAAUAGCCCUGUGAGCUGAGUUUUAGCUGCGAUCUGCACCUUGAGAUAUCCGUUAUGUCUGGCUCAGGAAAAAGGGGAAAGAAUGAGAGCUUAUUUCUAGAAAGGUUUCCGAUGAGCAGCAUUUGUCAUUGAAGGGGAAGAUGGGUAUAAUUAGCUUGUCAGUCUAGUUUGGGCUGAGCAGGCUGUCUCUGCUAAGAAAGAUGGACUAACUGCCAGAGCCACUGACAGGCAGUCGAUAGCGCAGCAAUUAAUGUCAUAAAUAAUUCCAGAACCAAUUACAUCAAAAUGGACUCGGAGCUUUAAAAAGCAACAGAAACAUGAGGUCGGUCCAGCCUGGGGCAGUUUCUCUCCAAGAGAAGAUGGAGGAAGCACAGCUAAGUGACUGGAAAUUGGACAUGCCUUCAUGUCAAGAGAUACCUGUACCUCUUGGAAACAACAAGCCCUUUGUGGUACCUCAGUGGGAUCAUCAGUGGGGCAUGGCCCUCUCUUGGACAACGUUCUCAUGCUGCUUUGCAAAGAGAAUAUAUAACAGGAUUUGUACAGGUAAGAAAAUUUGAAAUAUGUUUACUAUUUUUAAGAACAUUCUUUAAAGAGCUACAUGUUGCCAGGGAGAAAAUAUACGGAACUGUAAAUAUCAUUGAGUUACUCUACAUAUAUCUUUUGGGAUUUUAAUACCACAGCUUCACAAAUUCGUGUAGAAUUGCAAUUUGGGGGGGGGGUGGUGAAUUUUGGUGGGACGGUGAUUAUGUAUCUCAUACAAAGACCAGAAUAGACUGUUACGAUUUUCUACUUUGCAAAUAUACAAAGCUGCAAUAUGGGAAAACACUUAAAUGGGAUCUUGAAGCAAAUCCAGAAACAGGCCAUUGUGCAUAGACAUUAACAGGGAUGGUGCUGUGGGAUGUACAUUUGUGCUGAGUAAGAACAAGUUCAAGGUUACAAAGUCUAAGCUCCUUGUUAGGUCAUAUUGCUCAGAAAGUUUGUAGUGUCUCAUGGCUCUCUAAACCCCGCAGGCAAAUCUAGCUCUUGAACCAGAGAACCAUCUACUUAAAUGUACUCAUUUCCUGUGCAGAUAUUCAUAGAUGUGGUUAGAGCCUCUUGGAUUGCUGUAGCUGCUGGAACACCAAAACUAUAGGAGAAUUUUUAUCCAAAUAAAUAUAUAAAGACUGACUGUGGUUGCA
rnacentral:lncRNA from 1 species